rnacentral:snRNA from 1 species
GUGCUUGCUUCGGCAGAACAUAUACUAAAAUUGGAAUGCUACAGAGAAGAUUAGCAUGGCCCUUGCGCAAGGAUGACACGCAAAUUUGUGAAGCAUCCCGUAUUUUU